rnacentral:rRNA from 1 species
GAUGAACGCUGGCGGCGUGCCUAAUACAUGCAAGUCGAGCGAACGGACGAGAAGCUUGCUUCUCUGAUGUUAGCGGCGGACGGGUGAGUAACACGUGGAUAACCUACCUAUAAGACUGGGAUAACUUCGGGAAACCGGAGCUAAUACCGGAUAAUAUUUUGAACCGCAUGGUUCAAAAGUGAAAGACGGUCUUGCUGUCACUUAUAGAUUGAUCCGCGCUGCAUUAGCUAGUUGGUAAGGUAACGGCUUACCAAGGCAACGAUGCACAGCCGACCUGAGAGGGUGAUCGGCCACACUGGAACUGAGACACGGUCCAGACUCCUACGGGAGGCAGCAGUAGGGAAUCUUCCGCAAAGGGCGAAAGCCUGACGGAGCAACGCCGCGUGAGUGAUGAAGGUCUUCGGAUCGUAAAACUCUGUUAUUAGGGAAGAACAUAUGUGUAAGUAACUGUGCACAUCUUGACGGUACCUAAUCAGAAAGCCACGGCUAACUACGUG